UACGUAGGGUGCAAGCGUUGUCCGGAAUUAUUGGGCGUAAAGAGCUCGUAGGCGGUCUGUCGCGUCUGCUGUGAAAACUCGGGGCUUAACCCCGGGCCUGCAGUGGGUACGGGCAGACUAGAGUGCGGUAGGGGAGAAUGGAAUUCCUGGUGUAGCGGUGAAAUGCGCAGAUAUCAGGAGGAACACCGGUGGCGAAGGCGGGUCUCUGGGCCGAUACUGACGCUGAGGAGCGAAAGCGUGGGGAGCGAACAGG
rnacentral:rRNA from 1 species